GCCUGGGUGGCUUAGUGGUUAAGCAUCUGCCUUUGGCUCAGGUCAUAUCCUAGAGUUCCAGGAUCGAGUCCUGCAUCGGGCU
rnacentral:tRNA from 1 species